AUUUAUUUAGUAUAAAAAGUACACUUGAUUUCCAAUCAAAAAGUCUAAAUAUUGUAGAAUAAAUA
rnacentral:tRNA from 1 species